GCAGAAGGCAUUCGAUGGGGAACACGGAGGUUUGGUUGGUCUUGUGACGAAUUCGUGUUUUGAAGGGGUUCUUUGGCUUCUUCAGAUAAGUAACUCAUUGAAAAAGUGUCGUGGUGCUAUUUAAGUCUUCUAUUAUUUGCCAUGUCUUCUUAAUUUGGCUUCAAUAUUAGGAUCAGACUUUUUUUUGAGUUUUCAAGAUGGCGGGCUUCAUUUCAUGGGAUGCUAAAUGGCUGACAUAUUGGAUUUAUUUUAACGGACAUCAUGAUUUUAUUGUUUGAUAGCUUCUAUAAAUAAAUCUUUGAUUUUAAGAAGUUUUGUGAUGUGUUAAUAAUGGGUUGAAUGAAGAUUAAUGGCUACCCUUUUUAGGGUAGUUGGUAUUUCCGAUCAUUUCCAGUGAAAGCGUUCAUACAAUUGUAUGGGAAAAGAAAUCCCCGUUGAUGGCGAAAGCAAGUAUUACGAAGGAUUGUUAUAAAUAAGUACACAUGUUGCAAAGUAACAAUAUAUUGUUUCUCAUUUGCAUGCAGACAUUGUAGCCAUAUUUUGUGGCUUUAUCUUCCAUGUGCGUCUGCUUUUAGUACUUUCAGAUCCUUCACUGAAUAUUGAAAAAGCAUGAAGAUGGUAAAACCUAAAAAUCAUAACUUGUAAAGUUAUAAGUGUUAAGUUUUUUCAACAAACGAGAUAAAAAGCAGCAAAUUAAUAUUGCGUAGAGUUAUAUAUGAAAUAUGUCUUUUAUGAAUGAACUUUCAGACAUCUAGAAAAUUCUUGGAAGAUAAAUAGAUUGUUGAUUGAAAUGAAAAGCACAGAGACGGUGAAAAGACGUUGAAAGCAAGUAUAAUGCAAGAAUUUCAGUGUCCUGAAUAAUGAAACUUGUAUGUAAGUAAACUCUGAACAGCAGAGAUGCACAGAAUUGUUUUUACAGAUAAAUAUAUCAAAUGCUCACAUACAAAAAAGGUAGUAGUAUAUAGCACAAACGAAUUAUGCGGAAGAGAAAGGACAUGGUGAUUCAAGUAGCCAUGAUGCAAGUAAGCCCACUAAAAUCAUGUAAGUUGAGUAAACUAAAUCUGUUCAUUAAUGAUGGUAUGCUAACCCGAUUAAAGUAGAUUGUACAAUAUAUUGAAAAUCGAAUUAAUUGGAUUAAAUUUGGAAGCAGGGGACACCUUUUUCUGCAGGUACAUUUUGCAGAUCACGUGAAGUUAUUUGUGAAGUCUGAUAGACCAUUGGUAAGCUGUUGAUGUUAAAUCUAACUGGUUUUAAAGGGUUGGGGGAGAAUGUUCCAAGUACUGGAUAUUUUUUUAUAGAAGGCAACGUGGAUGAAAUGCAAUAGCGAGGUAUAUUUAGAUUAUAAAAACCUGUCCAGUCCAUUUGAUUCUACUUGCUCAAAGCGAAUUCCUGAUGUAACCGUGAUCGGUAAGAGCAAUUCCUUGUAACUGUCUGUAGAAUAGAUAAAAGUAAUGGGGAAAAUACGAAUAAAACUGCAGAUAAGAUAGGUUGCUUUAAUAUUUGGAAGUGAAAUGUACGUGAAUAUUAAACUCCUACUUCAUAUGUCGGAUAAUCCAAUUCAUAAACUUUGUACAUUGAUAAAUUUAACAGUGGGGUUAGGGUGGGGUAAACAAUAUAUUUGUGAGAGAAUUUCAGAGCCGUGUGAAAGCCACCAUUUCAAGUAGAAGAGUACGUGGGUGAUUGACUUCCCAAGGCUUUAGUCCACUUUAAACUGAAAUCCAUAGAACGAGCCAAUCGUGCGACAGUCCAAAGCUUUGAUGAACGUAAGCAGUUGUCCGGUUACUGGUACAUCAUUUAUUACAAAGAAUAGAAGUUUUUGAGCUGUCUUUAAGUAUUCAAGGUUUAAAAUCAGUAGUAUUGUGGUGUUGCAAAAGGAAGAUUGUUUUUGAGAUAAUUAGUAGAGCUCUCCGACGCUGAAGUUAAAGACGGAUAAAGUUGACCCAGCCAUGCCAAGGUGUAUUGGUGAACAUGAAGGUGAAAACUACCCUAU
rnacentral:sRNA from 1 species